rnacentral:sRNA from 1 species
UUGGUUUGUGGGUGUUAGAAAUUUUAAAUACAAAAAAUAAUAUGAAAAUUAAUCGACCCCUUUUUUCAGUAGAGCAGGUUUUGGGCGUCAGGAUGGGCUCGCCCAAAUUUUUUUUAGCAUAUCGAAAGAAAUUGGAAGGUCGAAUGAUGAAAUAAAAAAAUUCAUGUAAUCUUAAAAACUCUGCGUCAACGCCUGUAGAUUCAGCACGCUAUGUAUGUACAAAUAUCCCAACCAUCGAGCUUCUAUAGCUCCCGAGACCGUCGAGGUCAUACGGACAAAACAAAGACACUACAAUAUCCUAGUGUCUUUGGAAAAACGAUCUAUUGAUCCUGAUUAAAAAUUAGAAAGAAAUGCAUAAGCACAUAAUAAAUAAAUAUUUUGUUCAAUUCCACAAAAAGAAAUUGUUCUCUGUAUUUUUUGCAAGCCGUAUCAACCGGCAUCUUGGAGGGAAUUUGCAAUAUAUCUAACAAAAAUACCAAAUUGCUACCUCUUAUAAUUACUGAGAUAUACUUGACGAAAAAAAGAGUUUUAGGGCCUCAGAAAACAGUUAGGAGCCAGCUUAAGAGGGCACACGAGGCAAUCAACCUAACAGCUUUCGAGCAAUCUAUGUUAAUCUGGACCGACAGACGCACAUGACGACUGCGCUAGUAUUUUGGGAUCAAUAAAAAAUAUAAAUAUAUGUACACCCAUAUACAUUUUAUGUGUCGAGAAAGGGUAUAAAGGGUUUAACAAAUAACGAUACGUUGUUUUUAAUACAACUCAAUUAUAUUGUUAUUAUGCAAUUAUGCAAUUAAAGAAAAAUUUAUGAAAAUCAUUCGAAAAAAUUACCACGAUGUGUUUAUUUUUAAUUUUUUUAUUUCUUUGGCAAAACAAAUUAUGUUUAUAGUGUCAAAUUUAUUUUUAGUAGGAAAUUCUGUAUGUAAUUCUGUUCAAUUUCAUUUUAAAUUGUAAUUGAUUCUUCAAUUCACACUCUGAUUUCUGACAUAAAAUUAUGUUAUGCUUAACAUGAGUCUGUUGUCAAAAUAAUUAAAUUAGUAAAAUGAAACUAAUACCUUUAAAGCUUUAGCAGAAACACACUAAUAAUAAAAAAUAAAAUAUAAUGUAAUCAAAAUUUUAAAAUUCAAAAAAAUUAGAUUUCAGUUGUUUAGUUUUACUUUGAUGUAUCGAAAAUUCUUUUGAUAUCGGUAUUAUUAUAUUAAUCUAUAUAUAGUAGGCAACAAUAUCAUAAUGACCUUAGGUAAACAACCUACAAACCACAUAUAAUGCAUGUUAAUCGUUAAUAUAUAUAUGCUGUGUACAUGUAUGUGUACAUAUAUGAAAAUGUACAUGUACAUAUAUGAAAAUAUUUUUCAUUGCACGGAUAUAUGUAUGUAUUGUGUCUUUUGAAGUUACUUGCUUUCUAGUCAAUACUUGUUUUAAUGUUUAAAAUUACAUUAAAACUAUUAUUAACACUGGGCUAAAAAAUCAAUGCUAAUAGAUUUUUAUUUAAUAUUUAAUAUUCAAUAUUUCUGCGAAACAUUAAGUAACAAAGAAAAGACUCCUUUUUUUGAAAUGUGGAUCGAUUAACUUAGGUGCUCUGAUCGCGUAAAACACGUCUUGACUACUGGUGUGGAGAGACUAGCCCGAAUGAAAUACAUAUGUACUUGCGUAAGUUUUCUGAAUAUAUCCCUGCAAUUCCGGAAUUCAUCGCUACUGAAAAACAUCACAAAAUCAUGAGCAUACGUGUGUACACAUACAAUUGUCGACCGUCACUGUAUGCGUAGAAAAGAGCUGCUGGCUGUAGAGCUUGUAUCGAACUGUUUAUCAAUUGACAAAAUAAAUAAAAAUUAACAUAUUUUA